ACAACGAGGACCAAAAGGUUUGAUGCAGAUCUAGAUCAUAUGAACCUCUCCCCCAUGAUACGCCACCUUGUGGAGAACAUGACAGAAGAGCAUUGGAGAAUUGUCCGUGAGGCUCUAUGUGUGCCUAGGACCAAAGAAGAAGUUGGCCAUCUUUGUGCUAUCAUAGUGAAGAAAGUAGUCCAGACUGCUCAUUAUUACCUGCUCCCAGUCCUCAGUGAAAUUCUGGGUGUUCCUGUCGCAUACGUAUGUGGAAUGACAAGAUCAGGGCAACACAC